rnacentral:rRNA from 1 species
UACGUAGGUGGCAAGCGUUAUCCGGAAUUAUUGGGCGUAAAGCGCGCGCAGGUGGUUCUUUAAGUCUGAUGUGAAAGCCCCCGGCUCAACCGGGGAGGGUCAUUGGAAACUGGGGAACUUGAGUAUAGAAGAGGAAAGUGGAAUUCCACGUGUAGCGGUGAAAUGCGUAGAGAUGUGGAGGAACACCAGUGGCGAAGGCGACUUUCUGGUCUAUAACUGACGCUGAGGCGCGAAAGCGUGGGGAGCAAACAGG